rnacentral:rRNA from 1 species
GUUUUAAUCGAUGGGGGGACGCAGUAGGAUAGGCGAAGCGUGCGAUUGGAUUGCACGUCUAAGCAGUAAGGCUGAGUAUUAGGCAAAUCCGGUACUCGUUAAGGCUGAGCUGUGAUGGGGAGAAGACAUUGUGUCUUCGAGUCGUUGAUUUCACACUGCCGAGAAAAGCCUCUAGAUAGAAAAUAGGUGCCCGUACCGCAAACCGACACAGGUAGUCAAGAUGAGAAUUCUAAGGUGAGCGAGCGAACUCUCGUUAAGGAACUCGGCAAAAUGACCCCGUAACUUCGGGAGAAGGGGUGCUCUUUAGGGUUAACGCCCAGAAGAGCCGCAGUGAAUAGGCCCAAGCGACUGUUUAUCAAAAACACAGGUCUCUGCUAAACCGUAAGGUGAUGUAUAGGGGCUGACGCCUGCCCGGUGCUGGAAGGUUAAGAGGAGUGGUUAGCUUCUGCGAAGCUACGAAUCGAAGCCCCAGUAAACGGCGGCCGUAACUAUAACGGUCCUAAGGUAGCGAAAUUCCUUGUCGGGUAAGUUCCGACCCGCACGAAAGGCGUAACGAUUUGGGCACUGUCUCAACGAGAGACUCGGUGAAAUCAUAGUACCUGUGAAGAUGCAGGUUACCCGCGACAGGACGGAAAGACCCCGUGGAGCUUUACUGUAGCCUGAUAUUGAAAUUCGGCACAGCUUGUACAGGAUAGGUAGGAGCCUUUGAAACGUGAGCGCUAGCUUACGUGGAGGCGCUGGUGGGAUACUACCCUAGCUGUGUUGGCUUUCUAACCCGCACCACUUAUCGUGGUGGGAGACAGUGUCAGGCGGGCAGUUUGACUGGGGCGGUCGCCUCCUAAAAGGUAACGGAGGCGCUCAAAGGUUCCCUCAGAAUGGUUGGAAAUCAUUCAUAGAGUGUAAAGGCAUAAGGGAGCUUGACUGCGAGACCUACAAGUCGAGCAGGGUCGAAAGACGGACUUAGUGAUCCGGUGGUUCCGCAUGGAAGGGCCAUCGCUCAACGGAUAAAAGCUACCCCGGGGAUAACAGGCUUAUCUCCCCCAAGAGUUCACAUCGACGGGGAGGUUUGGCACCUCGAUGUCGGCUCAUCGCAUCCUGGGGCUGUAGUCGGUCCCAAGGGUUGGGCUGUUCGCCCAUUAAAGCGGUACGCGAGCUGGGUUCAGAACGUCGUGAGACAGUUCGGUCCCUAUCCGUCGUGGGCGUAGGAAAUUUGAGAGGAGCUGUCCUUAGUACGAGAGGACCGGGAUGGACAUACCUCUGGUGUACCAGUUGUCGUGCCAACGGCAUAGCUGGGUAGCUAUGUGUGGACGGGAUAAGUGCUGAAAGCAUCUAAGCAUGAAGCCCCCCUCAAGAUGAGAUUUCCCAACUUCGGUUAUAAGAUCCCUCAAAGAUGAUGAGGUUAAUAGGUUCGAGGUGGAAGCAUGGUGACAUGUGGAGCUGACGAAUACUAAUCGAUCGAAGACUUAAUCAA